rnacentral:tRNA from 1 species
GGGGCAUUAGCUCAGUUGGUAGAGCGCCUGCUUUGCAAGCAGGAGGUCAGCGGUUCGAACCCGCUAUGCUCCACCA